UCGAGGGGGGUCACCGCCGUCCGAGAGUAGCAGCAAGGGGUUAGCUGGAGGUCAUGGAGCGCCGGAAGCUGCCGCAGCACAGCCCUGUGAAGGGGAGCCGCUGUCAUGGAGGAGCAGGGGGAAGGAGAGAGGGAGGUACUGAGAGGAGGGCGGCGAAGAUUUUUUGCUAGUCCCGCCACCAGCAGGGUUUCGCCGGUGAUGUCGCAACCGUUCGUCGGCGCCGUUCGCGCGGGAGCAGGGUUGGGGAUUCUUGGGGGGCAGAGAUCAAUGAGUGGAUGCCAUGAACCCAACUACGACCCUGAUGACGGUUCGCGAAACACUGAGAGUUGCGAUGAGAGCAUUGCAUCUAGUGAUGAAGAAUCUGUUUCGACGAGGAAGAAGUUGUUAGAAGAUGCUUUAUCACAAAGUUUCUUUGUAGCUCAGGCUACAUGGAACCUCUUAUCCUCAACCCUCCAGCCUUGCUUUGAGAUCCGUACUCUCCAACUAACUAACAACAACAAGAUUUCUCUUUUUUGUUUCUCGAAAAUGAAACAACAUAUGAACUUCAAACUUUGCAGACCGAACAAACAUUAGAACAUCAAUGUGUGAAAAAACUUUCAGAUUUUUUGGUCUGAUAUAAAUAUACAAAAUAAGAUUUUCUUUGAAUAAAAAUAUUAUUUCAAGUAUUUAAAUACAUGAAAAAAUCUGAAAGUUUUUUCCUAUAUUGUAGUUAGAGUGUAUUGUUGUUCUGCAAAAUUUGAAGUUCAUAUGUUGUGUCGUUUGAGAGAAACAAAAAAGACAAAUGUGUUUGCAUGGAUCUUGAUGCAUAAAUGGAUGGCAAAGAUAAGGGGUACCGUGUAGCCUGAGCUACAGAAAACCACAUUCUUUAUUUGGUUUUUUAGAAAGGAGGCAAUCAAAUCACUCAAGAUUUUUCAAAAUUUUGCAAGAAUGUCGACCUUGAAACUGAGCAGGAUAAGAGGAAAAAGGUUAUGGGGGCAGGGAGGCAUGUGUUCAGUGUGUUUUCCACAAAAUACUUUGCAGAUAUCUUGAGGCGUAUGUCCAGUGGUUGGAAGGAUAUGAUCUCAGAAUACGGGUUCGAGCCUCUUCUGAAAUUUAAGAAAACUGAUAUCCCGUAAAGAUUUGUCCGCUGGAUUGUCGAAUGUGUAGACACAAUGUCAUCUCAAAUCAUUGUUGCUAAUAAGAAGAUCAUUUCUAUCUCAAAGGAUUCAGUUCAUUGUGUGCUGGGCCUGCCAAACUGUGGUGAUUUAGCGACACAAGACAAGGAUAGUGUGAGGAACUUCAUUUUGCCUCGGUUCAGCUUGACGAAGAUGCCAAACAAUACUUUCUUUGGAGACAUGCUCAUAUCUUCUGAUUUCCUCAGUGAGGAAGACACUUUCAUAUGCUUCAUGGUGAUCGCAAUGUCGUUCUUCCUUUUCACAUCUUCCAGGGAUCAGAUUCACACUGAGUUUUUGACCUUGCUUGUUGAUUCAAAGCACACAAGUGGUUUUGAUUUCUAUGCCCUUGUGUAUGAUUGUAUACUUACUGGCAUCAUCAAGUAUGUGAUUUCUGGCAGAGUAACGGGCAGGAUACCAAAGGUGUUUGACUUUUGCUCGUACUGAAUGACGGUUAGUCUUUUUUAAGUGUUUUUUCUGCAUCCAUUUGUUUUUGUUUUGUCUGUUCUGUGUCUCCUUUUUUUUCUAUUGGGGAAGAACAGAUGCACUUAACUAAAAACUAUUGGGGAAUGUAAAGGUCAAGGUAGCUUAUAAAAUUGAUAAGCAGAAUGCUCAAGUGUUCCAGGAACUAAAACCGGGAUUAGUGUCGUCAAUGUAAAUUGGGUUUGUAUUUGCUAGACAUUUUUUUCAUCAUUGGUAGAAGCUAAACUUUAAUGCCCGAAAUCAACAUCAAAAUUAAAUCAGUUAGUCCCUAAUCAGCUAAUCUUAGAUUUAACAGUUCAACUACUGCAAUGGACUCUUUAGAUUUCAGAUUUUGUACUGUUAAUGGAUGUUAGUUAAAUAUGAAAAUAAUCCAGGAUAGGUUGUCGCGGAAAUGAAGAGCCCAAGGUCAGAAGAGUAAUAAGUUUGUGAAGCAUAAGCAGAAUCUAAUAAUUCUUACAGCUUUAGAUAGAAGAGAAAGGCUUGGAGAUGUUCAUACCUAGGGGUACUCACAAUACUUCUUGACACUUUGGUUACUUCACGUUUUCCUCGCCAUUUCUCUCUCCAGACCAACCUAUGCAAUUUUUGAAAUCCAUCGUCAUAAGAUAGAUGGGCCUAUCAGUGUGAAAUGCACAUAUGUGAAAUUUCUUUAUUAUAUCAUUGAAAUGCACAUAUGUGAAAUCCUCAUAAGGUAGAUCUUCUUAAUGUGGCUUUCAAUGUGAAAUCUAUUUAACCUCACAAUAUCCCUUUUUUUUCUUUUGAAAAGUUACUUUUGCCUCUCUAUCGUGUUCCUUCCUAGCUUGAAUUUUGCCAAUAAUGAUUGUUGCUGGAUUAUUUAUUGUCUAGUUAGACACAAGCAUUUUCAUAUUAGUGUACGUCCUGGUACAUCUGCACAUAGUCGGAGGCGGCAGACCCGGACUCUGCAGGCUCCCGAUGGAGUGCUCCCGCGGUGCCUUCUUUCACUCGCAAGGACAUUCAGAUGUACCUCCACAUGAGACAUGAUAGAACCACACGGGUGAGUUGCUAACAAAAUUCUAAUGUACAUGCUCCAGAAUGGUCUGGGGAGGUUCGCAACAUUGUCUACUCAUCUGAUUGGAAAUCUGUAUAUGUUGUCGAUCGUGUGACUCUAUGGAACUGAUGGGGAGGUCCCACUAUUUGAUUAGUGGACGCAACUGAUGGGGGCAUGGAGAUGAUGGCAAGGCAUCACGCUGUGGUGGUGGCGAGGGGGCCAUCGAUGAAGGCGGCGAUGACAGGGGCUGCCUACAAAAGCGGUGCAUGGAUGGGGGAGGUGAAGUGGCGAGGGCUGGGAAGGUGGAGAACGACAAUCGGGGGAGAUGGAGUGGUGGCAAGAUUGGACGAGCUCACCUCCGGAGUGUGUGGGCAAGAUUUCCUUUUCGGGUCGGCCGGCUUUUUUUUAAAGCAUGUGCAUGUAUGAGUUGGGGAUUAUUUCCAGCGGUGAACAUGCAUGGGUAAAACCGUUUUCUUUUGCGAAAGGGGAGGGGAGACAAAAAACGGAGGUGGGAGGGGGAGCCGUACAUGGCGGGAGGGGUGGAAACCCUGGAAGCUGGGCCUGGGAUGAUCAGGCUGUCAUGAACUGAAGUUAUUUGUUUAUAGUGUCACAAGUGUGUAUUGUAUAAUUGUUUAUAUAUUUGUCGUAUAUUUUAUUGAAUUUAGGUGUGUGUGCAAGGUUUUCAUACAUUGAAAUUAUGAAUAUUGUGAAGUGCGAGACUCUCUCU